CACGAAAGAGAUUGACCAUGAUUAACCAAAGGAAAUAUGAAAAGCGUCACACCUACAAUUCUAUGAAGAACGAAGGUAUCUGGGUAAGGUGUCUGCUUAAUUCAAAACAUUUCUAUUUAUAGGCGAAAUAUUCUCAUCACAAAUGUGCCGCUGCAAAUUUUAAUUUAUUUCUAGUACUCUCACCUAGGACUACCACAAAUCAUAAAAACUAACACGGUAAAUAAGAAAACAAGCACUGGACGCGAUUUAACGUUUUGUACAGAGACGUGUCCUAUGAUCUUCAAAAACACAGAGCAGAAAACAGGAAACAGACAAUAUCCCUAUUCAGCCCAUGACAAUCGUGAUACUAUACACAGCGUGGAGACGUUUGAUGCUGGUUUGGGGCGUAAAAAGUAUUACAGUGACGGAAGAACGAACUACUCCCGCUUCUUCCUGUGGUCCCCUAGUAGAGCGGACGAGGACCUAGCUGGGCGCUUGUCGUCCUAUCGGACAGAUUACCUGGCCAUCCAGGUGUUACACACAGACACCUGGAACCACCGCCGCUUUCCCAGAAACCACCUGGAGAAAGCCAGCGCUGCACCGACUGUUGCCCAGGUGGAUACCCGAGCAACACCGUUACACCCUCAACCUCAAGGGCC
ensembl:lncRNA